AGCUUUCUAAAUCUAUGCUGAGAUUUCGUUAGGCAUCAGACCAACAGAGAUGAUAAAACUUUCAAAUGGUUGAUGAAGUC
rnacentral:pre_miRNA from 1 species